UUUCAGCGGAUUUUCAUUUCGCACACGUCACCUAAAAAGAUAUUGGAAAACAUUGUUAUGUUAAAUAAAAAAAAAAUGGAAUAGAUCUGAUUCCUCCCAAAAUCAUUUCUGGUGACAAAGAUACUUUAAAAGUUCCUACCCGAAAUAUGGCCAAUGAAAUCAUCAGCCAAGGGUCAUUUCUAAAUAGUCUGAAGCUAGCGCAAGUUACCCCUAUCUCCUAGAAAGAUGACCCUUUAUUAGAAAAGCACAUAUGAAUUGGAAAUUCGGGGGUGAACCUGUUGAUAACUUGUUUAUGUCCGGUUAUAUUAUGCGUAUUAUCCCACAGAGGAACAAAGGAAGCGUGACCCAACCGUAUUGCCUGCUCCGCCCCUAAACUACUGACUGCUGCCAAAAUGUCGCGAAGAAAUAUACCUGCCGCUGACCUUGAGCAAUUAGACGAUAUUCAGAAGAUGUACAUGAAAAGGUUUGAGCAGACCAACACUGAAAGAGUCUCCAAAUACGUUCACAUUCGUUGGAAGAACAGAAUUACCAUUGCAAUACUUGGAUCGGCCGCCAUUGGUAUCUAUGCGUACACCAUUCGUGCUUUGAGGCAGGAGAAGAUGGGACCGGAGUAUGACCAGCGAUAUUCAGAUGUGUUGGAGGCAGAGAGUGAGGUUUCAAAAGAAUCAUCCUAACACUGUGUUAAACAUGGAGAUUAAAAACAUUUCUACAGACUAGUUUACUUUGGUAGUGCUUUAUAAGACAAAAAAUGAAAGCAUAUUUAAUGGCAUUUUAUUGCUCAUCUGCAAACUGAAUGAAACUCAAAGCACAUCAUCAUCAGUUUGACCAAGUGUUGUAAAUCUUGCAUGACCAAUUGUAAUACCAAUGUUAAAUGUGAUGAUUUUACAAUUAAAUGUGCCCUAUUUCAGUUACAAAAUGGAUGUGUGUAAUGCUUUACUUCAGUGACUUUUAUGACUACUGUGUGGUCUGUGAUAGAUGGUAUGAGAGUCCCGGAACUGCAUAAAACAGGCAUAAGGAACUAAAGAUUGUGAAUCAGUAUGUCAGUGUACAGUGUUCAGUGUACAUAUAUGUAUGUUUUUGUGUUAAAGUUUAUACCAUAAUUUACAUUACAUGAUUAUGAAUACAUUGUAAAUAUUAUUGAUGUUAGUAAAACAUUUCAACCUGUG